rnacentral:rRNA from 1 species
GACGAACGCUGGCGGCGUGCCUAAUACAUGCAAGUCGAGCGGACCAAACAGGAGCUUGCUCUUGUUUGGUUAGCGGCGGACGGGUGAGUAACACGUGGGUAACCUGCCCGUAAGACCGGGAUAACUCCGUGAAACCGGAGCUAAUACCGGAUAACACCGAAGACCGCAUGGUCUUUGGUUGAAAGGCGGCUUCGGCUGCCACUUACGGAUGGGCCCGCGGCGCAUUAGCUAGUUGGUGAGGUAACGGCUCACCAAGGCGAGGAUGCGUAGCCGGCCUGAGAGGGUGACAGGCCAAACUGGGACUGAGACACGGCCCAGACUCCUACGGGAGGCAGCAGUAGGGAAUCUUCCGCAAUGGACGAAAGUCUGACGGAGAGACGCCGCGUGAGCGAAGAAGGUCUUCGGAUCGUAAAGCUCUGUUGUUAGGGAAGAAGAAGCGCCGUUCGAACAGGGCGGCGCGGUGACGGUACCUAACGAGAAAGCCCCGGCUAACUACGUG